AUUGAACGCUGGCGGCAGGCCUAACACAUGCAAGUCGAACGAGUGGCGGACGGGUGAGUAAUGUCUGGGAAACUGCCUGAUGGAGGGGGAUAACUACUGGAAAAGGUAGCUAAUAACGCAUAACAUCAGAUGUGCCCAGAUGGGAUUAGCUAGUCUGUGGGGUAAUGGAUCACCUAGGCGACGAUCCCCAGCUGGUCUGAGAGGAUGACCAGCCACACUGGAACUGAGACACGGUCCCGACUCCUACGGGAGGCAGCAGUGGGGAAUAUUGCACAAUGGGCGCAAUCCUGAGGCAGCCAGGCCGCGUGUAUGAAGAAGGCCUUCGGGUUGUAAAGUACUUUCAGCGGGGAGGCGUUACCCGCAGAAGAAGCACCGGCUAACUCCGUGCCAGCAGCCGCGGUAAUAC
rnacentral:rRNA from 1 species